rnacentral:rRNA from 1 species
GGACAGAUGGGAGCUUGCUCCCUGAUGUUAGCGGCGGACGGGUGAGUAACACGUGGGUAACCUGCCUGUAAGACUGGGAUAACUCCGGGAAACCGGGGCUAAUACCGGAUGGUUGUUUGAACCGCAUGGUUCAGACAUAAAAGGUGGCUUCGGCUACCACUUACAGAUGGACCCGCGGCGCAUUAGCUAGUUGGUGAGGUAACGGCUCACCAAGGCAACGAUGCGUAGCCGACCUGAGAGGGUGAUCGGCCACACUGGGACUGAGACACGGCCCAGACUCCUACGGGAGGCAGCAGUAGGGAAUCUUCCGCAAUGGACGAAAGUCUGACGGAGCAACGCCGCGUGAGUGAUGAAGGUUUUCGGAUCGUAAAGCUCUGUUGUUAGGGAAGAACAAGUGCCGUUCAAAUAGGGCGGCACCUUGACGGUACCUAACCAGAAAGCCACGGCUAACUACGUGCCAGCAGCCGCGGUAAUACGUAGGUGGCAAGCGUUGUCCGGAAUUAUUGGGCGUAAAGGGCUCGCAGGCGGUUUCUUAAGUCUGAUGUGAAAGCCCCCGGCUCAACCGGGGAGGGUCAUUGGAAACUGGGGAACUUGAGUGCAGAAGAGGAGAGUGGAAUUCCACGUGUAGCGGUGAAAUGCGUAGAGAUGUGGAGGAACACCAGUGGCGAAGGCGACUCUCUGGUCUGUAACUGACGCUGAGGAGCGAAAGCGUGGGGAGCGAACAGGAUUAGAUACCCUGGUAGUCCACGCCGUAAACGAUGAGUGCUAAGUGUUAGGGGGUUUCCGCCCCUUAGUGCUGCAGCUAACGCAUUAAGCACUCCGCCUGGGGAGUACGGUCGCAAGACUGAAACUCAAAGGAAUUGACGGGGGCCCGCACAAGCGGUGGAGCAUGUGGGUUUAAUUUCGAAGCAACGCGAAGAACCCUUACC